UACGUAGGGGGCAAGCGUUGUCCGGAAUUAUUGGGCGUAAAGCGCGCGCAGGCGGUCGAUGAAGUCUGAUGUUUAAUGCCGGGGCUCAACCCCGGUGCGCAUUGGAAACUGGUCGACUUGAGUGUAGGAGAGGAAAGUGGAAUUCCACGUGUAGCGGUGAAAUGCGUAGAUAUGUGGAGGAACACCAGUGGCGAAGGCGACUUUCUGGCCUAUAACUGACGCUGAGGCGCGAAAGCGUGGGGAGCAAACAGG
rnacentral:rRNA from 2 species